UCCUGGCUCAGGACGAACGCUGGCGGCGUGCCUAAUACAUGCAAGUCGAGCGGACCGACGGGAGCUUGCUCCCUUAGGUCAGCGGCGGACGGGUGAGUAACACGUGGGUAACCUGCCUGUAAGACUGGGAUAACUCCGGGAAACCGGGGCUAAUACCGGAUGCUUGAUUGAACCGCAUGGUUCAAUCAUAAAAGGUGGCUUUUAGCUACCACUUACAGAUGGACCCGCGGCGCAUUAGCUAGUUGGUGAGGUAACGGCUCACCAAGGCGACGAUGCGUAGCCGACCUGAGAGGGUGAUCGGCCACACUGGGACUGAGACACGGCCCAGACUCCUACGGGAGGCAGCAGUAGGGAAUCUUCCGCAAUGGACGAAAGUCUGACGGAGCAACGCCGCGUGAGUGAUGAAGGUUUUCGGAUCGUAAAACUCUGUUGUUAGGGAAGAACAAGUACCGUUCGAAUAGGGCGGUACCUUGACGGUACCUAACCAGAAAGCCACGGCUAACUACGUGCCAGCAGCCGCGGUAAUACGUAGGUGGCAAGCGUUGUCCGGAAUUAUUGGGCGUAAAGCGCGCGC
rnacentral:rRNA from 1 species